CCCACCCGCUCGGUUCCCCCAUUUUUUUUCCAUUCUCGCGCCCCCCAAAAUCCCCAAUCUCUUAGAACCCUAAUCAUCUCCUCACUCUCUCAGUCUCAUCUCAAGUUCAACUCAUCACUGUCUCUCUCUCUCACUCUCUCGUUUCGUUGUUCUUCAUAUCUACACCGAUCACUCUUUGACUCUCUCGAUGUUCAUCUCAUCGCACCGAUCAUCGCACCGCCGAUCUACUCACAGUCUCACUCUUUGGUUUUGCAUCUCUGCACCGAUCGACUCACAUGAUCUUGGUUUACUUUUGAUUUGAACAAAAAGCUUCAUUAUGAUCAGGACUUGUGUUGGUUCUUGGGUAUGCGUACCCUGCCUUUGAGUGUUUCAAAACGAUGGAAAAGAACAAAGUUAAGAAGGCAGAGCUUCAAUUUUGGUGUCAAUAUUGGUAAGAA